AAGAGAUCCUUUAACAAGAAGGAAUCUUUAAGAAUCAGGAAAACUAAUAAUAGGAAAACUAAUAAGAGGAAAACUAAUCCAACUAGAAGUAGGAAAACUAAUAAUAUGCAUUCUGCAUCAUUCUCCCCUAUCGAAAAAGAACUCGACACCGACGAGUAAACCAAGAUUAUGGAUGACGACGUCGUUUGUAAGUACGGAUGAUGGGAGGACGGGAUGCAGCCAAAUCCAGAUCAUGAAGAGCAUCUUGAUAACUUUGCAGAAGAGUAGAAUCCAACUGGCAAAAUUCAGCUUCUGUAAUCCAAGUAUCCUCAGUAGCAGGCCUUCCAACCCAACGAACCAGAUAACGGGUAGAACCUCCAGUAGAUGAGGCCACAACUUCAUGAUCCAAGACGUCCUCAAUCUGAUCUGUAGGGACAGAACUAGUAGAAGGAAUACGCGGCACCAUAGGAGGAGUGGAACCCUGAGCAACAUCUAUAGAAAUAGGUGGAGAAAAGGUGCCCCGAUAAGGAG
rnacentral:lncRNA from 1 species